rnacentral:rRNA from 1 species
GAUGAACGCUGGCGGCGCGCCUAACACAUGCAAGUCGAACGGUUAAAGCACCUUUUAGGUGUGUAUAAAGUGGCGAACGGCUGAGUAACACGUGGGCAACCUGCCCUCCUCUUGGGGAUAGCCUCGGGAAACCGAGGAUAAUACCCGAUACUUCAAUGUGGCCGCAUGACGACAUUGAGAAAGCUUUUGCGGAGAAGGAUGGGCCCGCGGCCUGUUAGCUUGUUGGUGGGGUAGAGGCCUACCAAGGCAAUGAUGGGUAGCUGGGUUGAGAGACCGACCAGCCAGAUUGGGACUGAGACACGGCCCAGACUCCUACGGGAGGCAGCAGUGGGGAAUCUUGCACAAUGGGCGAAAGCUGAUGCAGCGACGCCGCGUGCGGGACGAAGGCCUUCGGGUUGUAAACCGCUUUCAGCAGGGACGAGGCGAAAGUGACGGUACCUGCAGAAGAAGCCCCGGCUAACUCCGUGC